CCUACGGGAGGCAGCAGUGAGGAAUAUUGGUCAAUGGACGAGAGUCUGAACCAGCCAAGUAGCGUGAAGGAUGACUGCCCUAUGGGUUGUAAACUUCUUUUAUAUGGGAAUAAAACGUUCCACGUGUGGGAUUUUGUAUGUACCAUAUGAAUAAGGAUCGGCUAACUCCGUGCCAGCAGCCGCGGUAAUACGGAGGAUCCGAGCGUUAUCCGGAUUUAUUGGGUUUAGAGGGAGCGUAGGUGGAUUGUUAAGUCAGUUGUGAAAGUUUGCGGCUCAACCGUAAAAUUGCAGUUGAAACUGGCAGUCUUGAGUACAGUAGAGGUGGGCGGAAUUCGUGGUGUAGCGGUGAAAUGCUUAGAUAUCACGAAGAACUCCGAUUGCGAAGGCAGUUCACUGGACUGCAACUGACACUGAGGCUCGAAAGUGUGGGUAUCAAACAGGAUUAGAUACCCCGGUAGUC
rnacentral:rRNA from 1 species